rnacentral:lncRNA from 1 species
CAUCACUUAAGAAUUUUACUUCCAAAAGACUUUACCAAAACUGUGGAAAUGGCUCAAGUUGUGGAGUUUGCAUUUCUCCCAGGGAAUGACAGUGCAGGAUUGCACUCUUCACAAGACUGUCCUCAUCCAUGGGGGCCCAGCUUAAACAGCAGCCACAACCCUCUCUCAGGAAGCUCCCCACCCACAGGAAAGAUGGAUGCCAGGCUGCUAACUGUGCCAGAAACAUGUUCUUGA